rnacentral:rRNA from 1 species
CAAUAGCGUAUAUUAAAGUUGUUGCAGUUAAAAAGCUCGUAGUUGGAUUUGUGGCGUACGGUGUGUUCCGGGCACUUGUUGUCUGAGUAACCUGCUGUUGCCAUCCUUGGGUGGAACCUGUGUGGCAUUAGGUUGUCGUGCAGGGGAUGCCCAUCAUUUACUGUGAAAAAAUUAGAGUGUUCAAAGCAGGCUUAUGCCGUUGGAUAUAUUAGCAUGGAAUAAUGAGAUAGGACUUUUUUGCUAUUUUGUUGGUUUGCGCAAAGAGGUAAUGAUUAAUAGGGACAGUUGGGGGUAUUCGUAUUCCAUUGUCAGAGGUGAAAUUCUUGGAUUUUUGGAAGACGAACUACUGCGAAAGCAUUUACCAAGGAUGUUUUCAUUAA